rnacentral:rRNA from 1 species
CCUACGGGAGGCUGCAGUGAGGAAUAUUGGUCAAUGGGCGAGAGCCUGAACCAGCCAAGUCGCGUGAGGGAGUACUGCCCUAUGGGUUGUAAACCUCUUUUGUCGGGGAGCAAAAGCCGGACGUGUCCGGCUGUGAGAGUACCCGAAGAAAAAGCAUCGGCUAACUCCGUGCCAGCAGCCGCGGUAAUACGGAGGAUGCGAGCGUUAUCCGGAUUUAUUGGGUUUAAAGGGUGCGCAGGCGGAUGUUUAAGUCAGCGGUAAAAUCGUGGGGCUCAACCCCAUCCAGCCGUUGAAACUGGGGAUCUAGAGUGUGCGAGAGGUAUGCGGAAUGCGUGGUGUAGCGGUGAAAUGCAUAGAUAUCACGCAGAACCCCGAUUGCGAAGGCAGCAUACCGGUGCACAACUGACGCUCAGGCACGAAAGCGUGGGUAUCGAACAGGAUUAGAUACCCUAGUAGUC